CUCUACAUAUUUUAAUCUCAUCUGAUUUUCUCUAAAGGAAGGUCUUUAAUACGUGUCUUUUUUUACAGGAUAGCUGGAAACAGGAUAAGCUGUAGGGCCAUCCUGCCAUGACUUCCGCUCUGCCUUAAGAACUCUAAGAGUUAAGCUGUGUAAUAUGUCAGAAAAUUCCCCAACAGAUUUUCAUUUGGUCCUCAUAAUAACAUCAGCGACCCGCCAGCCAAUGAUCCGCCCAGUGUAAGUUUGGAGGUCACGUAAGUUUGGUCACGCUAUUGGAGAUUACAGCAGUAUCUCCAGACAAAUAAAAUAUACAGGAUUAUGUAGUACAUACAGUACAAAUGAAAAUACAUAUGUGCUCUCUCAUACUGAUUAUUAUUGUUGGAUAAAACCCUGAGGGACACAUCGGAUCUUUAUACAGCAUUGACUGAAUUCUCUGAAGAGACGGACAGAUUUCUAAUGUAAUCAAGAUCGUGGGUUUUUCACUGAUCCCACUGGCUGAAGCCCUUUGAGGAAGGAUGUGUGUGUUAGCAGCAAAUUCAGUAAAUGCACAAUGCUGUUUUACAUGGAAUCAAAUAUAUUCUGACAUGUGACACUCAGGUAAUAAAUGCAUUUAAAUCAUGUAGGUCUAGAUCUCUUCACAGAUCUCUGCGGCAGCAGACAAACAUGUAAGUAAAUGUGGAAACUUUUGAUUAGCUGUUUUUAUUUCUUCAGAAAGUUGGAAUGAUCGUAUAGCUGUUGGUAUUUGGAAGCUCUGCACACUGACUCACCUGCAGUAAUACAUAAACCAAAACGUGCAACGAUAUUAUACAUCUUUAUGAAUACAGUGUCCCCCCCAAAAAAGCCUCCUCUUCAUUUAUUUUAAAUGUACUAUGACACAGUGAGGACUUUGAGGCAGAUUCUUAGACAGAUAAAGAGAUGGACGUCAAAUCAAGCAAAGAUUUUACUGACAUACAAUUCAUUAUCAGUGCACUGAUCUCACAAAUCAAAUAUGUAAGAAGAUACAAAGAGGGGACUUUGUAAAUAAACUUGCUACAGGUCUAGAUAUGUCCAUGUUGCCAUGACAGUGAGAAUUAAUGACAUCAUAAAUUCUUGAGCUGCUAUUUAACAAUAUGACAGAGUAGUUUUUCUAGAAGCAGAACAGCAGUCUCCUAGGCUGAAAAGUGACAAUGUGAAAAGAAUUAAUUUCAGUGAGUCACUCCCAAAAGACUGCCAUGUUAUUUCCCUUAUUUAACCAGGAAGUCCCACUGAGAUCAAAUCACGUUACAAGGGCUAGCCAAAGUAGAAGCCAUACUACCUCAAAGUAUUAAAAGUACAGCAAAUACAACACAAAAUACAAGAUCUACAAAUAGCCACAACAAAACAACACUACUGUCCUCUCAAGAAAAACAUCAUGCCACACAUGUCUACUUUACCACGGUCCUCAUUACACCUGUACAUCCAACAGCACAUAUUUAGAGUAAAGAGUUUAAGGGCUUCCUGAAAAUUAUUCCAUGUCCAAGGUCUGUAUGAAAAUGCCUUUCCCCCCUGAUCUGUCAGAAAACUCGGCACACUGAAAGCAGCUGUUUGGAGUAACACAGCUGGAAACUGUUGGAACUGCAACAGAGAAGGUUGCAAAGGUAAACUUUAUGUAGCAGCGACACAGACACUUGGCAUGUGUCAAAAAUGUAGAGAUGCAUUAAACACCGAAUAAAGACUGAAUGUUUACCGCCAUAAUCAAGCACAGGCGCAAAGCUGGUUCCACAUGUUUUUUUUUUAGAGAAGAAAAUAAAACAAUAUGAAAACAUUCAACUUUACUUACAGUUUGACAUCAGUACCUAAUCUAAUUUUUAUCUGCCAUACAGGGCAGAGGGUUUUUUUAAGUGUUUGAAGACUUUGAAGACUUUUUAUUAUGGAAAAUUUUAUUUAGAACAAGGCAGUUAAAAGGCACUGAAGUGAGGGAUGUGAGACAGUUUGUACAGUACUGGGAAAUAUUUAUUUGCCAGACAUUCAGUACACGGCGUCUGGUUCAUACCAAGUUAUUUUUCAUUUUGUCUUUGGAUAUGAAAUCAGAAAAUGACCCAUUGCUCUCUAAACAUCUCAUUUUUCAAACUAAGCCUUCCCAACAUCUUCUCACAGGCAACAGGGGUCUUCAAGGAAAGACGUCCAGACGCGUUUCUUUCCAAGCUGCAGAGACUACGAUGACCUGGAUGGCUGAGAACCUUCACAGACACAGGCAACAAUGUUCAUCAUCUGUUCAGGCUACAUCUGUCCAGGUUUGAGAUUCUUUGAGAGAAAACUUAAAAAUGAGUCUAGCACAAGUCACUAAACCAACCAUCAAUGGUGUUGCUACAUACUAAAUCAGCUGUGAUAGGACACCCCUGUCGCCAAGGAGACACAGUCUUGGUGACCUGGGCAAAUCCCACUUCAAUCGUUGGCCUGUAUAAUUCAGAACAUCUCUUCAAAAAUGAGAAAACUUCCCCUAGUGCAUGCACAUUCAUCUCUCUUUCUGUAUGAAAUUGAUUAAAGUUAUGCCUGAUUAAAGGUGUAGCCACAGGUUGAUGCCAGUACAGGCAGCUAUCUGCAAGACGUCUUGAUGCAUGCUCAAUCAUCAGUCAAACGCUAUGUCCAGAUGAACAGAAUCAACCUUUUAGGUCAAUCUGCAAGACUUAAGUUCAGUGAAUAACUUCACUGCGCCGAUCUCAUGUUCUUGUUGGUUUAGGGUUGCAGGGGUGGGGGAUGUUUGGGGCACCCUGGAAAGGUCAUGAGUCUUUCACUGGGCUAUCACAUAGAGAUAGACAUGGGCAAUCAGAAUCAGCAAUUAACCAAACCGCACUAAAUGCAUGCCUUUGGACUGUGGGAGGAAGGUGGAGCAUCAGGAGAGAACCCACGCAGACACGGGGAGAACAUGCAAACUCCACACAGAAAGACCCCGGACAGAAGGUGGAGUCAAACUCAAGACCUUGCUGAGAGGCCUCAAUUUAUCACUGUGCCACCUUGCUGCCCUUAUUUAUUUAUUUUUACUUAUUCUUCAAGAGUCCACAAACCAAUAGCUGACUUAAGAAGGGCAGCAGUCUUUGCUCCAAACACCAAACAUAUGACCCUAUUUUAAAUGUAAUAGACACAUUUGCUACUAAUAAAGUGAAAAUUCUCAACCAACAGAGCCCCGCAUUUACAAAAAAAAUCCAAAAUAUAUCAAAUGUGUGAAAGAAAAAAAAUCGUAUAGUUAAAUCAAAGACUAAAACUCAAUGUGAUGUUUUUGAAAUGUUACACAUGGCACCUGAAAACAAUACCUGGUGUCAUUUUUUCUUGCUGUUUACUGCUGUUACAGUGCUGACAGUUAUCAUUAGCUUCAAAACAAAGAAUAGAUGAGACUGAGCGAUGCUGAUGGUGUCAGAGCUUGACAGGUUUUGUAGCCUGGACUGAAGGGCUGAUAUCAGUGACUGUGUUUCUUUCCAGCAGAGAAGGGGGGGGGUAUUAGAAGGAGGCAGUGCAGGGUUGUAGAUGAGGCCAACCUUCGCCCAAGGCCUUGCUCAGGCGAGUGAGAUGAUGGAGGCUGUUCCAGCCAACUGUCCGAACAGGAUUUGGGAGAAGUGCAAGUCAAUGAGGAAGAGGCGAUACUAGUGAGAGCGACACACGGAGGGUUCAGGAAUUAUUUUUGCUGGUGCCGAUUGCUUUAAAUCAGAAGAGAAAAAAGCAUUGUAAUUGUAAUUCAUCUAUCAUAGGCACAGAAACAGCAGUCUCUAAAGCUCUUUCAUUAACCUCACUAAAUUCUUGGUUGUUUAAAUAUUGCCUGGGUGGCGGUGACUCAGAUGGCAAAGCGGGUCGUCUAUUAUCUGAUCCCUGGCACAGACACAUGCCGAAGGCGCCUCGCAUGGCAGCUCUGCCACCUUUGGUGUGUGAGUGUGUGUGAAUGAGAAACAAACUGCAAAAACAUUUACAGUAAUUACACAAACAAAAAUGUAAAUGUGAUUCUGAUUUUAGGGACAGUCUGUAUUUUGAUGCAUUUCCAAAGCCAUACUCUGUCCAUCUACUAUACUGUAGCAGGUUUUUGAGUUAUUAAUAAGUAGUAACUUAAUAGUCAAAUGUUUAAACAAUUAUAAGUAGUUUUUAGUAAUCACUUGGAAG